rnacentral:rRNA from 1 species
CUACGGGGGGUGCAAGCGUUAAUCGGCAUUACUGGGCGUAAAGCGCGCGUAGGCGGCUAAAUACGUUGGAUGUGAAAUCCCCGGGCUCAACCUGGGAACUGCAUUCAAAACUGUUUAACUAGAGUAUGGUAGAGGGAAGUGGAAUUCCAGGUGUAGCGGUGAAAUGCGUAGAUAUCUGGAGGAACAUCAGUGGCGAAGGCGACUUCCUGGAUCAAUACUGACGCUGAGGUGCGAAAGCGCGGGGAGCAAACAGGAUUAGAAACCCCGGUAGUCC